rnacentral:hammerhead_ribozyme from 1 species
GCACUGUUGACGAGUCCCAAACAGGAGGAAACAGUUGUCCAGUGC